UGGGGGUUUGAGGAAGAAAGUACCCAAAGUGGGAGCAUGGUAGAGAAAUCAGAGAAGUUUCCAAGUAGUGAAAUUAGGUGGAAAAUGAGAUGGCUCUGGCCUGAGCUCCCUUCUUAAAUGGAGAUCUUGGAACUCAUGAAACAAAACUCCAAUCAGAGAAGCAGAGGAUAUUGAUGAGAUAUGGGUAUCAACACUGAUUGAAUAUUGUAGGAUAGUGAGGAGUUCUCAAUGAUUAGCUUUUCUGGACCAUAGUGGAGAAGUCAGACAAGUCCCAAAGUAGUUUAGCCUGAUGGAAAAUGAAUGAUUGGGAGUUCUUAAGCUAGGAUCAAUGAACCUACAUGAACACAUACACACACACACACACACACACAGUUCCUCAUUGAAAAAAUGAGCUGGUGAAGAAAAUACAAAAAUACCUUCAGUAUCUUUGCCAAGAAAAUCCCAAACAGGAUCACAAAGAGACAGACACAACUGAAACAACUCAACAGUCUCUCUCUCUCUCUCUCUCUCUCUCUCUCUCUCUCUCUCUCUCUCUCUCUCUCUCUCUCUCUCUCUCUCUCACACACACGCACACACACACACACACACACACACCCCACAGGGUUAACUAUCCAUCAAUAUACAGAGUUAUACAUAUUAUGUAUAUGUAUUUGUAUAAGUAGAGUAUUUAUCUGUAUGCAUAUAUAUAUACAUGCAUAUAUACACAUAAGAAUAUAUAGGUGUAAAUAGAGAGCUAUUUACCAAUAUAAUUAUUUUUUUCAUAAUAUUUCAUAUUUUGUUUGAUUCAAUUAAAGAUACUGCUCCAAGAAGAGUUUCAUAGGUUUCAAAGGUUUCACUGGACCACCAAAGGGAUCUAUCACACAAAAAUGGCUAAGAUCUGUGAAGACUGGAUAUAGCUAUCUUCUGAUUGUAACAAUGAAGAUACUUAGCUCUUCCUUUAUUAGGAAGAUUAAAUUGUAAUCCCCUAUCUGUUAUUAGAUUUUAAUCCCCAAAAGUGUUAACUCAGUAUUUAAAGUACAUCUACCCAUUUUAACUACAAAAAGGUGCAAACUAACUACUAAAGGUGUGAACUAACUACAAAAGGUAUGAUCUAACAAAAAAGGUAUGAUCUAACAAAAAAAAGGUGUGAACUAAAUAGUGGUCAGUCCUGGUGGUAGCAUCUGCUGUGAUUGGUAGACAAGAAAUUUUGGGGAGGUGACAUAAGAGAAAAAGAUCUUUAAACAGAGGACCACAGAAGCCAGAAGAGAUACAUGGAAGAACUCUGACUCAGAGUUGGACUGGAGGAUCAGUCUCUCUUGCUUGGAGUGAAGAAGAGUCAUUUGGAGGAAAGACUAGAAGACAGACACUAGAGGAGAGACUGGGAGACAGACACUCUGACUUGGCUGUGGAACUUGACCCUAGAGGAUCUGGUGCAGGAGACCUCAGACUGCUUUCCUUUUAGAUAGUCCAUGGUUGGAGAGGAGUAAAAGGAAGGAAAUCAAACAACAUUUGAUUGAGUUAUUGGUGUGCUGGCUCCCAUUCACAAGGGUCUGGAUUAGGGCACAGGGGCCAUGCAGGGUGAUGUGAACUGGAACAGUCUUCAAAUUCCACCCUGGCAUAGAAACAUUGGAUGCUCUAGCAAAGAACAGAAAGACGAGGAUGAUGUGUGUCCCCUCCAGUCCUCUCUUGCCACUGAAACAUCGCAAAGAUGCCAGAGAACACAGGGGAGGCAGAACAUCUCCAUAAAAGUGUUUUAUUUUAAUCGCUGAACAGCUUCAUGCCCAUGAAUCAUCCCUCAGUUGGGGAAGGAGCACCUGCAGAGAUCCAUCAAGACCAUUCCAGCCCAUGAUUGGGGAGGGAGUAGGAAGAUAGGGCUGCAGGGGACAUCCAGCUGUCAUACAACUAUCUGGAAAACUACACAGUCAGGCUGCGCACCACUGGAUGUGGUUUGUUUCUGAGGUAGAAAAAUUAUUGCCUGUUCCAAGCUUAGGAUGAGACACUAGGACUCUGAAUUUCUUUCCAGCACAGCUGAGGAUACAUAGCUGGAUAUCUACAUUCCCCAGGGUAAAACUCAAAUCAAGUCUAUUGCUUAAAUAUCCAAAUUAUUCAGAUGUCAUAGAUAAUAAGAUGUAAAAGAGGAACAAUACUUAGAAGCUACCCACUUCAACUCUUCUUCACUUUGGAGAUGGGCAAACUGAGUCUCAAAUAAGGGAAGUGAGUAGGGUUGAGAUUUGAACUUGGUUCUUCUGAGUCAAAUUCAUUUGUGCAACAAAAUUUUAUUAAAUGUUUAAUACAUGCUAGGUGCUAUUUUUAUUCUCUGGGGAUAUAAAGACCAAAAUGAGAAUCUCUCCUCAUGGAACUUGAAUAUUUUGGAGGAACUCUAUUGCUUAUUUCACAAAUCAUUAAUGAUUUUUUUCUCAUUUUCAGCCUCCUACCCAACUCCCUCUUUGUGAUUUUUAGGUGCAUUUGUUGCCCACUUAGGUUAUUGCUUGCCUACAUGGUUCUAUUUAAAUAUGACUCAUAGGGAGACAUGAAUAGAUAUGUUUGGAAUUAUUUCCACCUCAUUCCAAAGAAGCUUUUUAUUCCCAUCAAGUGAGUAGGAAAAUAAGACCGUAGUGCUGCCCAGUAUGCUUUCAUUAAAUUGGGAUUAAAUAUAUGAUGAAAAAAUAUGUAUAUAAUCUUUCCCCUCUACAUUAUUUAUAAACAUGUUUCCCUCUAUCUGUGACUAUUACAUAUAUGUAUAUAUGUGUGUGUUCAUCCUCACCCUUUGUUAAUAUUGCUAGACUAAGGGGACUAUUUUUUAGGUUCAUGCUAUUUCUCCUAGUCUCUCUAUCCCUUAAUUGGGAAGUGUUUCCCCAAGCUAUAUCAGAAAGCUUGAUUCCUUUCUCACCAAAUACAAGUUACACACAGAUCAUUACACCAAUUAAAGAGUGAAUAAACUAAUUUAUCCAAGCAGACAGUUACAAUCAGAGAAGCUGUACAGAUGAGAAUAAGCCAGACAAUAUAGAAUGAAUGAGCUCUUCCAUUGGAGGCAAGGUAUGUCAGUUUAACCAAGAAAUGAGACUUCAGACUCAUCCCAGGAUAAAUUCUCUGAAGUUUCUAGUGCAACAAGUUAGGAAUAGGUAUAUUAAGGUACCUGCUAGUCUACAUGUCCACUCUACCCUAGAGUCUCUCUAUGAGGAGAGUCCGUAAUCAUGCAUGAUCUCUCUUGAAGCCAGAAAGGAAAAGUAGCAGCUCUCUGUUUCUGUAUUCUUGUACCAGCUCCAUCAAUAACAAAAGCACAAAACAACUCAUAAUCAUUCUCUCCAUCAUUAAAGAGUGUCUAAUGUAAAUUCUGAUACCAGAACCCAGGUUCUAACUAAUAUCUGGUUCUAUUUGUAUAACUCUAGGGUGGAUUCAACAUGAUAAUUUGUGGUAGGAAAAAAAAAGAAAGUGUUGCCUUAGAAAUGGUUUAGAAUCUAAUUUGUAAAAAAUCUGUACUUGAUGACAACUCCUCAGAGAUGAAAAAUCUGUAUUUUUUGCCUUCCAGUUCCUUUAUGGAGAAAGCAUAGUGAAUAUGCCAAGUUUGCGUAUAUUUGAAAUGCUAAGAUGCAAACAAUUAUCUGGAUAUUUUCAAGUAUCCAGUAAUUUAGGAUCUAUCCACAAGUUUUAUAGAAUAAAUAGAAGAUACUAAAAGAGCCCACAUAGUCUGGUCUAGAUGAUUUCCCUUGAGCUUAGCCUUCAGACAGAUGAAUGGCUAUUGGAAUCAACAUUUUAGUUUUCAUCUGGAUGUUUGGCAAAAAGGAAACUGACUAUGUCUAAAAAGGUAAAUCGAGCAACAAGCAUCCUGAUCAAAACUCAUUUUACCAUUGCAACCUGCAAUUUUAUGAAAAGAAAUUGAUUUGCAUCCUUUAUGAAGGCUUGAGACACCAAGUACUUUGGCAAGCAAAGUGUUGCAGUGGAAAUAGUGUGGGGUCAAGAGUCAAAAGACAUAUAUUCAAAUGUUGUCUCUAAUAUUUACUUGCUUGGGGAAAAAUUUUCUAUGUCCCUCAGUUUCCUUACCUGUAAAAUGAAGGUAUUGGGCUUGAUGGUCUCUGGUUUUAAGUCUAUGUUCCUUAUCUUUGCAUAUCUGGC